GCACGCUUCCUCGGUGGGCCGGGCGAAUCUUGGUACUACUGGCCGGAGGGGGAGGCCGUGUGGGGAGCGGGCGGGCUGCGGGGCUGGGGCGGCCUCGGUGUCCGCGCGGGCCCCGCGGUGUCCCCGGUGCGCGUUCUGCGGGUCAGGGCAGCGUGUGGGGCCAGUGGGGUCUGGGGCGGCGGGGCAGAGCGGGCCGGUCAGGCAGGAUCGGAGCAGGGGACUCCGGGGAUGGGUGACUGGGCCUGCGCGGAGGGCGCUGGAGGGAGCGGGGCUGAGAGCGGCUGGGGGCCGACGCCUGCUGAAGGGGCCGUGGGGCUCGGUGACGGGUAGUGAGAUUCCGGUUUCCAUGAAGUAAUUGGCUUAUUUGAGAUAAAGAAGUCCCAGAGGUGAAUCCUUGGUGAAGAGAGUCCUGACCAGAGGAGUUAAGAAGGAUAGAGCAGAGCCUAAAGUUACUGGCCAUUUCCCAAGUGUGGCAGAAAAUGACUAAGUCCCAGAGAGAGAGAGCGUGUGUGCAAACCUAUGAGCAGGGGAAGGGCAGAAAAAGAGGGGGACAGAGGAUCUGAAAUGGGCUCCAUGCUGACAGCAGAGAGCCUGACGCAGGGCUUGAACCCACGACUUGAGAGAUCAUGACCUGAGUGGAAUUGGACACUUAACCGACUCAGCCACCUGGCCGCCAGGUGAAGCUUUGUUAUUAAAUGUUUGCACAUUUAGGGUUAUUAUGUUUUCUUGAUGAAUUGACCCUUCUGUUGUUAUGAAAUGUCCUUUUUUAUCUUUUAUAUAAGCAAUACCCCUUAUCUUGAAGCUUACUUUGUUUAAUAUUAAUGUAGCUACACUAGUUUCCAUAUGAACGUCUGAGUGCUAUUACCCUUUCCUGUAUUUUACGUCUAACUUAUUUGUACCUCUGUAAUUGUGUCUUGAGCACCUGGGUGGCUCAGUCGAUUAAGUCACUGACUUUGGCUCAGAUCACGAUCUCACGGUUCGUGGAUUCGAGCCCCGCGUCGGGCUCUGUGCUGACAGCUGAGCCUGGAGCCUGCUUCAGAUUCUGUGUCUCCCUCUCUCUGCCCUUCCCCUGCUCACACUCUGUCUCUCUCUGUCUCUCAAAAUUAAAUAAAUUUUAAAAAAAUCAUCAUUAAGUGUGUCUUUGUAAGUAUCCUAUAGGUAGGUCUUACUUUUUCCAGUCUGAUAAUCUCUCUUUUCUGUGGAAUGUUUAUUUAGUCCGUUAACAUUUUAAGUAAUUAUUGACAUAUUUGGGUUGCAGUCUAGCAUCUUGCUAUUUGUUUUCUAUUUGUACUAUUUGUUCUUUGUUUCUUUUCCCUGCCUUCUUUUGGAGCGUUUGUGUGGUGGUCCCUGUUCUCCGGCGUUGGAGAACAUGUGCUUCUGCGCGACUCUGCCCUCCUGCUUUCCACAGCCUGAGUCCCCAGGCACAGGAACGAAGCACUUUCUUCUGGGCUUCCUCCCUCCUUCUUCUCACCAUGCGAUGGGCCCACCCUCCUUGACGAGGCCUUCGGUGUUGGUGGACACAUGCUGUGCUGUCUCCAUGCAGCCACCCUUUGAAAGUGUUGUUUUGGGUUUUUUUUCCUGAAAAACAUGCUAGAUUUUUUUGUUUGUUUGAACAUUUUGGACAUUCCAUUAUACGUUGGCUUGCAUUGUUUCUGGUGAGAGGUCAGUUGUCCCAUCCCUCUUAUGUUGAUCCCUGGAAUGUACUGUGUCUUACCCUCUGGCUGAUUUUAAGAUUUUAUUUUUAGUUUUGAGCGAUUUGGCUCUGAUGAGCCUCGGUCUGGUUUUCUUUAUAUGUAUCCUGAUUGGGAUACUUUGAGUUUCUUGUGUCUGUGGAAUGUUUUUCUUCACAUUUGGAACAUUUCCAGCCAUUAUUUACUCAAAUAUUUUUUUCUGUCCUAUUUUCUUUCUUCUGACCCUCCAAUUAUGGUGUAUAAGAUGUUUUUAUAUUGUCCUACAGGUCACUGACACUUGAUACAUUGUUUCCAGUACUUUAUACUGUGUAUGUUGUUUUUUUUUUAACUUUAUUUUAUUUAGUUUGAGACAGAGAGAGCAAGUGUAGGGGAAGGGCAGAGAGAGGGAGAGGGAAUCCCAAGCAGGCUCCAUACUGUCAGCACAGAGCCCAAUGCGGGGCUCGAUCUCAUGAACUGUGACAUCAUGACCUGAGCCGAAAUCAAGAGUCAGGCGCUUAACCGAAUGAGCCACCCAGGUGCCCCUGUAUGGUUUUUAUUAAUCGAUUUUCAAGUUCAUGAAUCUUUUCCUUCAUAACAUCAGAUCUGCUGUUAAGUCCAUUUGAUAAGUACUUAAUAUCAGCUGUUCAGUCUAGAGUUUCUAUUUGGUUCUUUUUUAAAAAAUUAAUUUCCUUUUCUCUCCUGAAAGAUUCCAUCCCUUCACUUAUCAUAUCCAUGUUUCCUCUAAGUUAUUCAACAUAUUUAGUAUUGUUAUUUUAGAGUCUGUCUCUUAAUUCACAUAACUUAGGCAUCUGUAGUUCUCCUUCUGUUGGCUGGUUUUACUUUCUGUGGCCGUAGUUCUUGGUCACAUUUUUAUACUUCUUUGUAUAUAUAUUUUACUGCAUUCUAGAUGUUGUAAAUAAAAAAUGGUGGAAACUGAA